rnacentral:rRNA from 1 species
CCUACGGGUGGCAGCAGUGAGGAAUAUUGGUCAAUGGUCGGGAGACUGAACCAGCCAAGCCGCGUGAGGGAGGAAGGUACAGAGUAUCGUAAACCUCUUUUGUCAGGGAACAAAGGCGGGGACGUGUCCCCGGAUGAGUGUACCUGAAGAAAAAGCAUCGGCUAACUCCGUGCCAGCAGCCGCGGUAAUACGGAGGAUGCAAGCGUUAUCCGGAUUUAUUGGGUUUAAAGGGUGCGCAGGCGGUCUGUUAAGUCAGCGGUAAAAGCCCGGGGCGCAACCCCGGCCCGCCGUUGAAACUGGCAGUCUCGAGUUGGAGAGAAGUAUGCGGAAUGCGCGGUGUAGCGGUGAAAUGCAUAGAUAUCGCGCAAAACUCCGAUUGCGAAGGCAGCAUGCCGGCUCCACACUGACGCUGAGGCACGAAAGCGUGGGUAUCGAACAGGAUUAGAUACCCCUGUAGUC